UAGCCUGAUAUUGAAAUUCGGCGCAGCUUGUACAGGAUAGGUAGGAGCCUUAGAUACGUGAGCGCUAGCUUACGUGGAGGCGUUGGUGGGAUACUACCCUAGCUGUGUUGGAUUUCUAACCCGCACCAUUGAUCAUGGUGGGAGACAAUGUCAGGUGGGCAGUUUGACUGGGGCGGUCGCCUCCCAAAGAGUAACGGAGGCGCUCAAAGGUUCC
rnacentral:rRNA from 12 species